GGGAGCGCGGCAGUCCCGUCAAGAAUAAACCACAGCAAUAAUGGCGGGAAUAUACACACACGUAUACAUAUUUAUCGACUUUAUGUGGAAAAACAUAAGUCAACGUUACCCUGUGAAACAGAUUUAAUUUUGGGCAAAAUAUUAAUUCUUUAGCCCAUCGAGAUCAAUAGCUUUGUUAUAUCUAUUUUUUUUAAAUAAAUACAUAUAUUUGAGAGUCGUUAAUGAUCCCGCAGUCAAUGUGAUAUAAAGCGCAGAAGAAAAAGAACAAAUAUAUUUGUUGUAUUGUGCAUAAAAAUAUAUAAUUACCAUAGACAUAGUUUUUGUCAUGGUUUAUAUAAAAUAUAUUUAAUUAUUUAAACAUUUACGUAUAUAUGUGCAUUAUGUAUACAUAAUAUAUGUAUAUAAAACUUUUUUCAGCAAUUCUACGCUUUGCAGAUAAUAAGGAACAUUAAAUCCUGUGGUCUCAAAUGCUGCUACGUACAAUUAUACAGUCAAAAAUAAAACAUAUUCAUUGUUUUUUAGUAUGGUACUUGAUCUUUUACAACAUAA